ACCUUUGAAUUUUUUGUUACCAGAUCUCUCUACCAUCGCCAAACCUUGCUCUCGUUCGAACAUCUAUACUCCCUUAGCGAUCUCAAGCCUCCU